UACGUAGGGUGCAAGCGUUGUCCGGAUUUAUUGGGUUUAAAGGGUGCGCAGGCGGCACAGUAAGUCAGGGGUUAAAGGCAGCGGCUCAACCGUUGUAAAGCCUUUGAUACUGUUGUGCUUGAGUAUACAAGAGGGAGCUGGAAUGCGUGGUGUAGCGGUGAAAUGCAUAGAUAUCACGCAGAACGCCGAUUGCGAAGGCAGGUUUCUAUUGUAAAACUGACGCUGAGGCACGAAAGCGUGGGGAGCGAACAGG
rnacentral:rRNA from 1 species